AUCAGAUGUUUUCCCUGGCAAACAGGCAAAGAAUUUCUUUCCAGGCAGGAGACAAAUACCUACCUCUUUCCUUUUAUCAAGUAUUAACCCAUAGGCCUCUUACAGGAAAAAGCAGAGAACUAGCACAGGGAUUUCUAUUGGAAAUGGGAAAACACUUUUUUUUUUUCUUUUUUUCUCUUUGUUGAAUUUUGAAGAAGAUUGGACCAAGGAAUCAAUGGGGUGGACAAAAACCAAGCUAUUAGGAAAUUAACACCAGGGGAAACCUUUGAGCAAGAUGGCUUCUCUGAUGGAACUGGGAAGCAGGAGGCAUAUAUGGUGUUGGAGCAUGUCCAGGGAAGAACGAUGGAGAUGGAGAAGGGCCUGGAGCACAAGUCUGAUGAGGAGUGGUGGAGACAGCUGGGAUUAUUUAUCCUGGAGAAAAGGAGACUCAGGAGGGACCUUAUUGCUCUCUACAAUCACCUGAAAGGAGGCUGUAGCCAGGUCUUGGGAGACACAUGAAGCUUUGUGACAAAUGGGGUGUUUGGAUGAUGAAGAGAUGACUUGAAGACUCGGGAAGAGACACUUCAGACUCCUGCCCCUGGAGCACAGUGAAAUAAAGAAAUCCAAGCAACAGAGAGAACCAAGAGACCCGGCUGCAGAAAAAGGGUUGAGAAGGAAAGGAAGCCAAGGUAAAAUACACAAGCCUUUCCCUAGAUCAUUCAGUUUGGCAACACCAGCACUUGAGGUAAAGCAUAUUCAGAAUGUAAUGCCAUUUGUGAGUUGACUGCUUCCCUUUCCAUUUCCCCCCUGUGAUAUUCCUAGUAUGGGUCAGAAGGCUUUAGUGAAACAUUUUGUUUUUACAAAGGCAUUUCUAUUUUGCUCCCUGGCACAGUACCUUCUGGCAUGCCUGCUCCUGGUAAG